rnacentral:rRNA from 1 species
AUGGCCGUGGCUGGAUCUGACCAGGCUGCUGGCUGGAUGAUGCUGGACCGCUUCGUCUACCGCAGGGACGAGGACGGCGACAGCGGCUUCCCGGACGAAUCUACGGCGCCCCUCAGGGCCACCUCGUCAACCUCUCUCGGCAGGCCUUUCGAGGUCGCCAUCCUGCACGCCGAGCCCCCCGCCGUCUCCCGUCUCUACGUGCGGUGGCCCGGCGGCACCAAAGGAAAAUACGGCUCCAGCACCUGCACCGCGCUCAUGGCCGCGCACCGUGACCUCAUCCUCUUCCAGCUCGUCUCCAUGGCAGGUGAUAUCACGCAUGACCACUUCGUCUGCAUAGCAUGCUCGGAUCCUGCAGCUGGGCCGCACAUGGAGCUCAAACGGCUCCCCCUUUGCACCAUACCCAUGGUCUUACCUCCGUGCUGUGAGGAAGACACGGAGGGAACUUCUUCUUGUGAGGAAGACACGGAGGGAACUUCUUCUUGUGAGGAAGACACGGAGGGAACUCCAUGUUCCGAGGAAGACACGGAGGGAACCACUAUGCGGCGGGUGUUUUUCCCCAACACCGUAGGGCUCAUUCGCGGAUCAUCCCCUGGCCAUGAAGAAGAGUUUGCCGUCGCACAGCUGGCUAUGGUCACCCAGAUACGAGGCGCCUACCAGAUGGAAGCUGAAGUGUGCGUACUCCGCUCACGUGUGUCGGCUCCUGACGAUGCUGGCAUGUGGGAGGUUCAAAAGAUACCUAUUCAGCAUAAGACUUAUGAAUUCCCGGCCCUGGAUAAUUGGUUGACGGAUGCUGUCAUCACAUUCAACAAAUAUAUCUGCUGGAUUUCCUACUACACAGGAGGUAUUCUAUUCUAUGAUAUAUUUGCAGAAACACCCAACAUUUUUUAUCUACGGUUACCUACCGCUCACCGUCCUAGAAAAAUGCAAGAAAGAGGUUUCCUUGAGAUGAAACAUAGCCUCUGUGUCACCGGCGUUGGAGGUGAUCUUCUCAAAUACACUUCUGUUGUUCGCCAUGAUGAAAAACUCUGCGGCCCACUUGAACCUCGUACAGGUUAUACCAUCGUCACUGAUACUUUGAGCAUAACGGAGAGUGGUGAUGUAAACUGCUUCCACGAAAGGGUAAAGAUAGCUUUUGAAUUGUGGCGUUACAACACCUCUGAAUGUCUCCCGCGUGAAGGCCUGAUGUACCCUCUUGUGAGCAUGGACAACCCUAGUAGUGUGCACUAUUUGAUCUCUGAGGAAGGAGAUAAGAUUGACAAGGUUUCCAUGGUUACGUUGGAUAUGAUUACUCAGAAAGUCACUUCAAUUGUUCCAUAUAUUAAAGGAGAGGAAGACCUCUGUGGCCAAGAUGCUGACAUGGUUAAAGAAAAGUCACACCUUCUCACGUCCUUCCUUCCAUCCGAGUUCCCCAAGUUCUUGAAUCUCACAAGGGAUCGCUGA